rnacentral:rRNA from 1 species
GAUGAACGCUAGCGGCAGGCCUAACACAUGCAAGUCAAGCGGGAUUAAUUGAUAGCUUGCUAUUGAUUAUGAGAGCGGCGCACGGGUGCGUAACGCGUAUGCAACCUGCCCUUUGCUGGGGGAUAGCCCGGAGAAAUUCGGAUUAAUACCCCAUAGUAUCACUGAUUCGCAUGUUUUAGUGAUCAAAGGUUACGGCAAAGGAUGGGCAUGCGUCAUAUUAGCUAGAUGGUGAGGUAACGGCUCACCAUGGCGACGAUAGGUAGGGGGCCUGAGAGGGUGGUCCCCCACACUGGUACUGAGACACGGACCAGACUCCUACGGGAGGCAGCAGUGAGGAAUAUUGGACAAUGGGCGCAAGCCUGAUCCAGCCAUGCCGCGUGCAGGAUGACGGUCCUAUGGAUUGUAAACUGCUUUUGUACAGGAAGAAACACUGGUUCGUGAACCAGCUUGACGGUACUGUAAGAAUAAGGAUCGGCUAACUCCGUGCCAGCCGCCGCUGUAAGAC